rnacentral:rRNA from 1 species
CGGACGGGUGAGUAAUGUCUGGGAAACUGCCCGAUGGAGGGGGAUAACUACUGGAAACGGUAGCUAAUACCGCAUAACGUCGCAAGACCAAAGAGGGGACCUUAGGGCCUCUUGCCAUCGGAUGUGCCCAGAUGGGAUUAGCUAGUAGGUGGGUAACGGCUCACCUAGGCGACGAUCCCUAGCUGGUCUGAGAGGAUGACCAGCCACACUGGAACUGAGACACGGUCCAG